GCAGCGAUGGCUCAGUGGGAAAAGCGCCAGAUGGGAGAUAGUGAUUACUCCGAGACCCAUUAUCUGCGCGGGUUCGAAUCCCACCUGUGGCA